rnacentral:rRNA from 1 species
GACGAACGCUGGCGGCGUGCUUAACACAUGCAAGUCGAACGGAAAGGCCCUGCUUUUGUGGGGUGCUCGAGUGGCGAACGGGUGAGUAACACGUGAGUAACCUGCCCUUGACUUUGGGAUAACUUCAGGAAACUGGGGCUAAUACCGGAUUGGAGCUCCUGCUGCUUGGUGGGGGUUGGAAAGUUUCGGCGGUUGGGGAUGGACUCGCGGCUUAUCAGUUUGUUGGUGGGGUAGUGGCUUACCAAGGCUUUGACGGGUAGCCGGCCUGAGAGGGUGACCGGCCACAUUGGGACUGAGGUACGGCCCAGACUCCUACGGGAGGCAGCAGUGGGGAAUAUUGCACAAUGGGCGGAAGCCAGAGGCAGCAACGCCGCGUGCGGGAUGACGGCCUUCGGGUUGUGAACCGCUUUCGCCUGUGACGAAGCGUGAGUGACGGUAAUGGGUAAAGAAGCACCGGCUAACUACGUG